AUUAGGUAGUUGGUGGGGUAACGGCCCACCAAGCCUAAGAUCCGUACGGGCUGUGGGAGCAGGAGCCCGGAGAUGGACCCUGAGACAAGGGUCCAGGCCCUACGGGGCGCAGCAGGCGCGAAACCUCCGCAAUGCGGGAAACCGCGACGGGGUUAGCCGGAGUGCCCGUGCAUUGCACGGGCUGUCGGGGUGCCUAAACAGCACCCCAUAGCAAGGGCCGGGCAAGGCCGGUGGCAGCCGCCGCGGUAAGACCGGCGGCCCGAGUGGCGGCCACUCUUAUUGGGCCUAAAGCGUCCGUAGCCGGCCCAGUAAGUCCCCCGGGAAAUCUGGUCGCUUAACGAUCAGACUUCCGGGGGAUACUGCUGGGCUAGGGACCGGGAGAGGCCGAGGGUAUUCCCGGGGUAGGGGUGAAAUCCUGUAAUCCCGGGAGGACCACCUGUGGCGAAGGCGCUCGGCUGGAACGGGUCCGACGGUGAGGGACGAAGGCCUGGGGAGCGAACCGGAUUAGAUACCCGGGUAGUCCAGGCUGUAAACGAUGCGGGCUAGGUGUCACCGGAGCUACGAGCUCCGGUGGUGCCGGAGGGAAGCCGUUAAGCCCGCCGCCUGGGAAGUACGGCCGCAAGGCGAAACUCAAAGGAAUUGACGG
rnacentral:rRNA from 1 species